CACGUAGGGGACGAGCGUUGUCCGGAUUCAUUGGGCGUAAAGCGCGCGUAGGCGGCUCGGAAAGUCGGUCGUGAAAUGCCGGGGCUCAACCCCGGGACUGCGUCCGAUACUCCCGAGCUGGAGGCAGGUAGGGGAGAUCGGAAUUCCUGGUGUAGCGGUGAAAUGCGCAGAUAUCAGGAGGAACACCGGUGGCGAAGGCGGUUCUCUGGGCCUGUACUGACGCUGAGGAACGAAAGCGUGGGGAGCGAACAGG
rnacentral:rRNA from 1 species